UUAGCCUCUGCACCCCUCCUUGAAAGUCCCUGUGGUGAAGUCCCUGCAUCCUUCCUCUAAGAUCACCGGUCCUGUUCUCCUGGCGAGGCAUGGUUGCCAUGGCGGCGCCCGCCUGCAGGGAGCGAGCCCCCGGAGGGGUGAGGUUGUACUGGUUCAGUUCCAUGUUGGAAAGCAGGUGGCCCAAAGAGUCCCAGCGCUGAGAUGAAGGCAGGCGAAUCAGGGAGGAGUAACCCCGCUCAGAGAACACUGAUGACGACGGUGGUGGAGGCUUGCUGGUCUCUGAUGGGAACGCCGGACUGGGGUCCUGGUGUUCCCUGGGAGGCAGCGGCGCGGCUCGAAGCGGGGCAGGUUUCAGGUAGGUGCCCCCUCGGGGUUCUGACAGGACGUCAGUGUAUGGAGGCGGAGGGUCUUCCAUUAGGACUGCCUCCUCGUAGCAUGGUGGCUUUCCAAAUAGAUCUGCUUCUGGAACACAGAGAAUGACAAUGAGGAUACAAUAUUAUGUGCUCUCUGAAUGUUCUCAACUCCUAUUUCCAUGCUAGUGUGGUAUUGGGCAGAAUAAUGUUGACAAUUGUUACAAAAUGGCUGUGACAUGUUCGCAAGGCCACUGUUUGUUACUAGGCAGCUUUCUGUGGCGCCUAUCCCAACAAGUAAAAAUUAUGAGUUCACCUUUCGCGGAUUCGCUGUUUCGCAUAUUUUAUUAAGUGCAUUUUUUUAACAGCAUAUGAACGCGUAUUGAGCCAUCUAUCGGUGCUCUGUUGUAUGCGUCUGUUACUGCUGCUACCAGUAGAGGGUGUUGCGGCUCCACCUAGUCUCAGUAUGUGUUUAUUAAGAACCCACAGUAUACAAUGGCCGGCCAAUUAUAGCGCCACAACAGUCCUUAUUGGCUCAGGGAGAACUGGUACGUUGUGUUCUGUGUCCUGAUUGGCUGUAGACCAUUGUCACUCAAUCUCCUUCGUGCCGUUUCCUGUUGUGGUCAAUAGCCGCUAGCUAACUGAACUGCUAACUGCCAAUAAACAAUAUAAGAAGCUAACAGGCUGAAUGAAUCUUUGGUUCAAGGAGGAGGAUGACGGCAGGAGCAAUAUAUUUUAACAAGAAUACAGAAACGCUACAACCGAACGGCGCCAGGACGAGCCACGGUGCAUUGAUUUCACACAGCCCAUAGGAGCUAACAGCGACGACACUUACAAUGUCCGCUCUCAUUCAGAUGGCUGUGUCUUCCAGCGCAUGACUUGUGCUCCAGUCCUCAGUGGCUUGAGGCGUCGUGAGUGACGCUGAGACGAGCAAGGGGUUGUGUUCCUCCGCCAGAUGCCUCCAGACUUUGAGGUUGCCAUAGUAACACAGGAGAAGAUGAAAGAGGGGGAAUGCUGACACAAACGCAGCCCAAGCCAUUGUGGAGAGUCGUCGAUCUGCAUUGUUUAUAAAACAAGAUACCGUCACAAACACCAACAAAAGGCACCUUUUGGAUGAGAAAAUGGUCGUUUAACAUGGACUCCAUUGGGAAAGUUGCUCUGUGAAAAUGCUUUUGUACGAAUGAAGGGUCUUAUGAUUAAAACGGUCAUUUCCUUCACCAUCCCUUCCUUGCCUGAAAACGUGGUCAUUAUUAAGGCACUCUGGAACAUUUUCUUGGUCACAACGUACCGUAUUAUGUCGGUUUCAAGUGUGGAUUCAAAGCUGAAAACGUUCUCUACUUUCAGUUGCAAAUGAAUGGAGCUCUAAUAGGGAGCCCUGCAGCACUCCGCUGGUGAUGAUUAUCUUACAUCUACCAAUAAAAAUGUUGCAUUCAAUUUCACAUCACUGGUUUGCAAGUGUUGGCUUGACACCCAUUAAGUGUAACCAAAAAAAAAAUCUUUUGUUUCAUUUUAUGAAAAAAAAGGACAAAAGUAUUCAUUACUGGAUGAUAUGCAACAUUUCAGUGUGGCUUUGGUGUCUUGUUCCUCCAAAUAUCAGUCUAUUUUGUCCGAUAAAAAAACACAGAAAACAUACAGUAAGAGCAAUUACUUUACAGUGAAUUGUACAUUGCAGUCUGCUCACAUUCCCAGCUCAUCAUAUGAAUAUGUUCAAAUCAAGGCCGUUGUCAUCGAGGAAGCCACUUUCCUUUCUGUAGACAUGCCCCAUAUGAGUCCAGGGUUCGAAUACUUAGCGGAGCCUUUCUUUUGUGUGGGGACUUUCUGGAGCAUCGACUGUCAAACAUCUUAUAGCUUAUACACGUGUUUUCACUUUUCAAUGUUAUCAUUGAAUGACAAAGACGUUAAUGUCCUCCUGAGAAAGAUGACAGUGACACACUACCUGCAGAUAUGUUCAACACACUGACCCCCUCUAGUGGCUGCACUACAUAUGACCAGACAGCAACACACGCACGCUCGCAUAGUGCUGUACAAAUAUUGUCCACACUGAAGAAAACAAACAAAAAAAGUCUUAUUUCCAGAAGAAAAUUAAAGCAUUACUAAAAUAUUACAAGAAAACGGUGAUGUUAUAAGAAAAAAAGGGUCAUUUAAAGAUAAUGAAGUUGUAAUAUAACAAUAAAAAGGGCUUCAUAUUCAUGAAUAAAGUGUAAAUGUGAGUAAAAAGUUGCAAUAUUAUGACAAUAAUGUUGGAUUACGAGAAAAAAAAAUGCAAUUGCAUUUUAUGCUAAAAAAGUCCAGAGGGAAAAAAAAAAUUGUUUCACUUCUGAAGUACAUCUUUUCCCCCUUCAUAAAAAUACAACUUUAUCUCAUAAUAUUUAGAGUGGACUUUUGGAUCAUUGCAACAAAAUACAAGUAAUAAUAUAACAAGCUUAUUUUGUUUCCUCUGAAAAAUCCUACCUACUGGUACUCAUACGAGGGUAUUUUCAGAAUAUUACAAGUUUUGGGGCCAAACCUUCAAUUUAUUUUUGUACUCACUCCUGUUUUUUUUUGUUUGUUUGUUUUUUUUGAUAAAAGAAAACUUUACUCCGUGAAAGUGAAAGUCAGUUCACUCAGUGAAAAUGAAUGACUUUUUUGUGUGUGUGUGUGUGUGUGCGUGUGUGUGUGUUUGUGUGUGUGUGAGACCCUAACACUGUCAUGUCUUUUGUGGUCACUUGCCAGCUAUAAUAAACAUAAUUUACAUAUAAGUACAUCAAGUUUUUUUUGUUUUUUUUCAUAGCAUCCUCAAAAAAAGAAUGUGCUUUUGUCAGAACUAUGGCCGUCGAAAAUGCGUUGCAAGUCAUACAGUGAGGUGAC